rnacentral:rRNA from 1 species
GACGAACGCUGGCGGCGUGCCUAAUACAUGCAAGUAGAACGCUGAAGGAGGAGCUUGCUUCUCUGGAUGAGUUGCGAACGGGUGAGCAACGCGUAGGUAACCUGCCUGGUAGCGGGGGAUAACUAUUGGAAACGAUAGCUAAUACCGCAUAACAGUAGAUAUCGCAUGAUAGCUGCUUGAAAGGUGCAAUUGCACCACUACCAGAUGGACCUGCGUUGUAUUAGCUAGUUGGUGAGGUAACGGCUCACCAAGGCGACGAUACAUAGCCGACCUGAGAGGGUGAUCGGCCACACUGGGACUGAGACACGGCCCAGACUCCUACGGGAGGCAGCAGUAGGGAAUCUUCGGCAAUGGACGGAAGUCUGACCGAGCAACGCCGCGUGAGUGAAGAAGGUUUUCGGAUCGUAAAGCUCUGUUGUAAGAGAAGAACGAGUGUGAGAGUGGAAAGUUCACACUGUGACGGUAUCUUACCAGAAAGGGACGGCUAACUACGUGCCAGCAGCCGCGGUAAUACGUAGGUCCCGAGCGUUGUCCGGAUUUAUUGGGCGUAAAGCGAGCGCAGGCGGUUAGAUAAGUCUGAAGUUAAAGGCUGUGGCUUAACCAUAAUACGCUUUGGAAACUGUUUAACUUGAGUGCAAGAGGGGAGAGUGGAAUUCCAUGCGUAGCGGUGAAAUGCGUAGAUAUAUGGAGGAACACCGGUGGCGAAAGCGGCUCUCUGGCUUGUAACUGACGCUGAGGCUCGAAAGCGUGGGGAGCAAACAGG